CUUCCCAUUCUGCAGUUGGUCAGAGGCUGAUCAGCUGCUGCAGUUUCACUUUGAUUUAUUAUAUUUUAUUUUUUCUACAGCCAAAGAACACAGCAUUCAAGCAAAAGUGUCAUCACUUGAUAAUAAAUAUGCUUAUGCCAUCUAAGCCACUCACUCAGCAGAAGGAUAUUUGCAGAAAAGAAGAUUCUUUAGAAAAAGUUUAUCUCAUUCUCAUAGAUUUUCAAGAUUGGCGGUUCCCAUUCGGCUAUGUGUUUGGCUUAUAAUUUUAUUGUCUUUGGUGAAGAAAAUUGCCCGGGGGGAAGAGGAGAAUUUAAGUAUACCUAUUCUCAGACAUUAGAGCAGUAACAUAGAUAAUGGAUCAACCAGUUUUUAGAUGACUUUAGCAGGUCCCUUUUAGUGGAAAGAAAGCCUCAGUUGAAAAGGAAGAAGCCAAUGUAAAAAUGUGAAAUCAAAGCUCUUCUGAUAUGGUUGAAAACAAAUAACACACUAUAAAAAGCUGCAAGCUUGAGUUAUACACGUGACCUUGGAAAUACCAUUGGCUCAUCUACUAUUCAUGAUGAAAAAAUUGAGGCUCAAAGAAGUCCACCAAAUUGAGAGUGAAGUAGGGGAAACAGCAUUUAACGCUUACAUUCUAAUGAUUUGUGUAAGAGCAGCAGGACAAGCUAUACAAAGAAAAACGUGGAAUUAUCAGGAUGGAAUUAAAGAUGCUUCCAAACAGAGGGGAUAUCUCAAGCCAUGACUCAGAGGUAAGAGUAAGAGACUAUGAUGUGCACAGGAGCUGUUUAAAAAGUUCACUCACCUCUACUCAUUCAUAGAGACACA
rnacentral:lncRNA from 1 species